UCGGAACGUGCCCUGGAGUGGGGGAGUAACUAGUCGAAAGACUAGCUAAUACCGCAUACGAUCUACGGAUGAAAGUGGGGGAUCGCAAGACCUCAUGCUCGUGGAGCGGCCGAUAUCUGAUUAGCUAGUUGGUGGGGUAAAGGGCCUACCAAGGCAUCGAUCAGUAGCUGGUCUGAGAGGACGACCAGCCACACUGGGACUGAGACACGGCCCAG
rnacentral:rRNA from 1 species